rnacentral:snoRNA from 11 species
GAACUUGGUACAGAGGUAGCUCAAUGCAGAGUGUGUUGCAGAAGUCCAACUUUGAAGUUACCAGUGCAUGCACUACCAUCUUCAGGUUC